CCUACGGGUGGCAGCAGUAGGGAAUAUUGCUCAAUGGGGGAAACCCUGAAGCAGCAACGCCGCGUGGAGGAUGAAGGUUUUCGGAUUGUAAACUCCUUUUGUUAGAGAAGAUGAUGACGGUAUCUAACGAAUAAGCACCGGCUAACUCCGUGCCAGCAGCCGCGGUAAUACGGAGGGUGCAAGCGUUACGCGGAAUGACUGGGCGUAAAGAGCGCGUAGGCGGGAUAGCAAGUCAGAUGUGAAAUCCUAUGGCUUAACCAGAGAACUGCAUUUGAAACUGGUACUCUAGAGUAUGGGAGAGGUAGGUAGAAUUCUAGGUGUAGGGGUAAAAUCCGUAGAGAUCAAGAGGAAUACUCAUUGCGAAGGCGACCCCCUAGAACAUAACUGACGCUGAGGCGCGAAAGCGUGGGGAGCAAACAGGAUUAGAUACCCUUGUAGUC
rnacentral:rRNA from 1 species